AGUCUCACGGCGGCGUGCACCUCGAAUCCCAGAGGUGGUUUAUCUGGCAACCUCGGAUCCAAUCUGGCACCCCCGGUACCGGCGGUGCCGUCACACCGUGCCGAGCCCCGCAGAUUCUACACCGCGCGGCGGCUGCAAGCGUAUGAGAAAACAAGUAACUUUGUAAGGACGGGAUUGUGUGCUGGCAUGUGUUGAUGCAUCAGUGAUGUUGGGAAGUGCGUGAGAAGAAAAGGUGGAUAAUUGCAGUGCAACUUUUGGGCGUCGGUCGCAGCUCCAAACUCGUGAUUGAUGGCUGAGAGUCUAGGUCACUGGAUUACUGCAUUCUCAGACAUUGCUCUGUCUCUCACUGCCCUGUACACUGCUGGCUGUCUUUUCAAGGAUCACCGGGCCCCGGCUGUGGGGCUCUUCCUGGUUGGAAUCUCUGCAGGAUUAUCUUCACUUCCUGAUUCCAGUCUGCUACCAACAUGUGUCAGGCAGGACCUGGAGUGGGCGGGUGAAGCGCUGGGCCCGGCACUGGUCUCCUGCGGCUUCCUGUGGCUCAGUGAGGACCGACUGACAGCCCAUGUCCUGCUGGCCUGCUCCGUGCUGCUCCCCGGGCUACAUGAUUGGCUCUCUCAGGAGGGCCUGGCGUCUCUGACACGCUGCCUGGCCCUUUCAUCACUGUCCUGCUCGCUCACUGUGAGCCUCUUCACAGGCAACGCUGCUGGGGUCCUGGGAAGCGUGGCCCUUUGCCUGCCUGCUCUUCUGGCCCCUAAGGCAGGAGCCAGUGCUCUUCCUGGUUUCGUUACAGCUGGGACCAGAGAAGAACCAUUGAACUGGCUCUUAAAAUGUUCAUUGGUGAUGGGAUGCCUGUCCACAAAACAGGCACUCUGUACAUACCUUCUGGAUCUUAAUAGGGGAGAGUGAAUUGUACCAAAUAUCACAGACCUGAAAAAACUGAGGCUUUGGACCCGUGUGUGGUGAGGAAGCUCCCAGUCUUUGUAUGAAUUCACCCAAUAGGAGCCCUUAGUUUAGCACAUGUCCCAUUGGUUACUACUUAAUGACUGACAGCACAAUACAGUUCCCUGCACUUCAAAGUGCCUUUUUGCUGUUCGGUCCUAUGAGAGGAAAGUUCCCCACCCACCCCCCCGCACAGAUGUGCUUUGCAUGUGCGCUGACCUACUUAAUCCGCAAGCGAGAACCCGCAACGAGAGGCUCGCAUUACAAAAUUCACACCCACAAGGUUCAGAUAAUAGUGUCAGUAUAUUUGAGAGAGGUCACAUGCCUCGUAGUGACAGAGUCAUGCCACUAUGAGAGGCCAUUGUUGCUGGGAGGUGGGGGACACAGUGAAGCUCAUUGUUCUGGGGGAAAAGAGGCACAGAGGAGGACUUCCUGUCAUCAGAUAUCUCUGUGACUGAUCACAUCUUGGUUACAACUCUAGUUAAACUAGACUAUUAUAAUGAUAUUUAUGUUUGUUAUUUUAAAGUUAGCCUCCCAUAUUAGUUGGACUUUUCCAGAAGUAGUUGUUCUGCAAGAGUGAAUUGUCAUGCGUGACUCUGGACAGGUUAUGUGCAGUAAUCGGUAUGAUUGAUAAGGAUCUCAGUAAGCGGUUGGUGAAUUUGCUUAUUCUGCUGUCUCAUCACCAUCGCGUGUGUGUGAACCAGAGACUUUGCCUUUUAGCCUUAAAAAAAACCCUGUUUUUCAUUACAACGCUGUAACUGGAACGUGGCGCUCACUGAAACCGGACAGCCGGCAGCAUGUUUUGGGAACGCACCUCCUCUGUGUUUGCGAGUGUCUUUGGGGGCCUCGUGUGUGCUUGCUGAGCGGCAUGGCCUCUGCUGACACAGCCGCUCUGCAUUAGCAGCUGGAGCAGAGAGCCCCGGAAUCAGCAAUUAAGCCCUGGCAUGCGUCCCAGUGUGGGUGCAGUACACCCCCGUCAAGGCCACAUAUAAUGAGAAGCCUUUUCUCUUAUCCUGUUUAGAAUUCCGGUGCCUAUUAUUCAAUUUAAGAACCUAUUAACAAGAAAAAAUGCAAAGUAUUUAUAUAAUGUUGCAGUUGCUUAAUAAAAUAAAUCAGCUAAUAUUUCACCAUGUCAUUUUUAAUGAUUUUUUUUUUUUGCUUAAAAUAUUUAAUGUGCAAAGGUUGCAUGUUUUGAGAUAAAUAAUGUGUGAUAAAUCAUGGUAAAAAUGCAUUUUUUUAGUUAGCUGUUGAACUGGUGUAAAUAGUUAAUAAAAGAUUGCUACAGAGAGUCUGGGAUGCUUUCGAAGGGAUGUACCUGUGAACUCUGUCUAAAAUGAAUGAGCAUAAAAUAGAACCGUCAUUCAAUAUAAUAAACCUGAAAUCCCUCAGCAAAUCACACUAUGAGCGUAGUUUAAAAUGAUAGGUUUAGAUACAAUAUCCCUGGUUUUAUUUUUCUCUUGAAGAUCUGUAAUCAUUAUGCAACUGUAAUUCUGUUUCCUUUAUACUAAUAAUUAAACGGAAAUCCCUUCUCGUUUUCUGUC